AUUUAAAUAGCUUAUUAGAGCAUAAUAGUGAAGUUAUUAAGGAAUUAGUUUUUAAUUUUAAAUA
rnacentral:tRNA from 1 species